rnacentral:rRNA from 1 species
GACGAACGCUGGCGGCGUGCUUAACACAUGCAAGUCGAACGGUGAAGGGGUCUGCUUUUGUGGGCCCUGGAUGAGUGGCGCACGGGUGAGUAACACGUGAGUAACCUGCCCCCUUCUUCUGGAUAACCGCAUGAAAGUGUGGCUAAUACGGGAUAUUCUGGGUCUGUCGCAUGAUGGGUCUGGGAAAGAUUGCGCCUUUGGGUGUUUUUGGUGGGGGAUGGGCUCGCGGCCUAUCAGCUUGGUGGUGGGGUGAUGGCCUACCAAGGCGGUGACGGGUAGCCGGCCUGAGAGGGUGGACGGUCACACUGGGACUGCGACACGGCCCAGACUCCUACGGGAGGCAGCAGUGGGGAAUAUUGCACAAUGGGCGCAAGCCUGAUGCAGCGACGCCGCGUGAGGGAUGGAGGCCUUCGGGUUGUAAACCUCUUUCGCCAGUGAAGCAGGCCUGCUCCUUGUGGGUGGGUUGACGGUAGCUGGAUAAGAAGCGCCGGCUAACUACGUG